rnacentral:rRNA from 1 species
GAUGAACGCUGGCGGCGUGCCUAAUACAUGCAAGUCGAGCGAACAGACGAGGAGCUUGCUCCUCUGACGUUAGCGGCGGACGGGUGAGUAACACGUGGAUAGCCUACCUAUAAGACUGGGAUAACUUCGGGAAACCGGAGCUAAUACCGGAUAAUAUAUUGAACCGCAUGGUUCAAUAGUGAAAGACGGUUUUGCUGUCACUUAUAGAUGGAUCCGCGCCGCAUUAGCUAGUUGGUAAGGUAACAGCUUACCAAGGCAACGAUGCGUAGCCGACCUGAGAGGGUGAUCGGCCACACUGGAACUGAGACACGGUCCAGACUCCUACGGGAGGCAGCAGUAGGGAAUCUUCCGCAAUGGGCGAAAGCCUGACGGAGCAACGCCGCGUGAGUGAUGAAGGUCUUCGGAUCGUAAAACUCUGUUAUUAGGGAAGAACAAAUGUGUAAGUAACUAUGCACGUCUUGACGGUACCUAAUCAGAAAGCCACGGCUAACUACGUG